UUUGAUUAGACUAGACUGUUUGAUAUUUUUUUUUUGAAUUUUUGACUGAAUCGACUUUAUUAACUCAUUCAAACUUUAUUGAUUUAAUCGUUCUGUCGACCAUUGAUUGUUUGCAUGAUUGUAUAAAGGCGCGGCCUUUUUCCCCGGCAUAGCUAGUCUUAUCGCAACCAUCCAUCGACUCGUCAAUAAGCUUGACCAUCUUUUCGUCAGACUUACGGAACGAUCAAGCAUUGCAUUGUAUUGCAUUUGCGGGAAGUAUGUUACAGCUGCC